rnacentral:tRNA from 1 species
GUGGCGCAACGGAUAGCGCAUCGGACUUCUAAUCCGGGGGUUGCGGGUUCGAAUCCCGCCG